GUGCAGGGACCCGGGGAGGCGCGCGAGGACCGACCGGUCACCGCUGAAAUUACCUCAUCGCUUCAGCUCCCCGCCCCUUUCCCAAACCUGGAAGAAGCGUCCCUCCGGCCGGAGGCGCCCCCCCCGCCCCCCGCUCGCCAGCCGGUCGCCGGCCGCGCGCCGCCUCCCGGGGCCGCCUCCCCGGGCCGCGCGCAGCCAAGGGUUAAGGGCGCCGGCCGGGCCGUCCGCCGCGCCGUGCGCUCGCGCUGCUCCGAGCCGCCCGCCGCCCGCCGCCCGCCGCGGGGCCCCCCCGCCACCCCCCACCCCCCACCCCCACCCCCAAGUCGGAUCCUUGAGCUGCGGCGGCGGCAGCCAACUGCUCCAUAUUUGGCUUCUAUUACACAUUUACAUACUGGAGCGAGCGAGCGAGCGAGCGAGCGCGAGAGAGCGCGAGGGAGGGAGGGCGGGCGGGCGGAGGGAGGAGGGAGGGGAGGGGAGCGGGGGGGUCGGAGGAGGAGGAGGGCGAGGAGGAGGAGGAGGAGGAGGACGAGAAGGAGGAGGAGGACGGGGAGGAGGAGGAGGAGGAGAGAGCAGAGUGUACCGCAGACAUCAUUUCUACUACAGUGGCGGAGCCGUACAGGACCUGUUUCACUGCAGGGGGAUCACAAAACAAGCCCCGCGGAGCAGCCGCCAGAGCUACAGCAGCCGCAAGACACUGUUUCUCUCCCUCUGCCCCCCCUUCCCCACGCAACCCCAGAUCCAUUUACACUUUACAGAGCAUCGUGCAGCAGCCAGUCCCCAGGGUGGUCCGUUCAAGCUGCGGAUUUGUUUGCCAUCACUCUAAGACAAUCUCCUCCUCCACGGCCACUCCAGGGAAGUGCAUCACAAAUCAGCAUACUGGAGCAAAAUGAAAGAAUUUGUUCUGAGGCCUCAAAAGUAGUGCUGCUACGGACCAUGAGCAAGAAAGGGUGGACUUCAGCCUGCACGGAUGGUCUUGAAACACAAAUAGUUGUGGGUCUAGGCAUUUUACAUUGAGUUUCUCUACUGCCACCCCUUCUACUCAAGCAAAAUCUGUGUGGAAAGAUCCGCUGGGAAGGAACUGACUGCUUAUGUUUCUCCAUUGUGAUGAAAGCACAUGGUACAG
rnacentral:lncRNA from 1 species